AUGAACGCUAGCGGCAGGCUUAAUACAUGCAAGUCGUGGGGCAGCAGGUCUGUAGCAAUACAGAUGCUGGCGACCGGCAAACGGGUGCGUAACACGUACGCAACCUUCCUUCAGGCGGGGAAUAGCCCGGGGAAACCCGGAUUAAUACCCCAUAAUAUUAUGAGAUGGCAUCAUCUUAUUAUUAAAGCUUCGGCACCUGAUGAUGGGCGUGCGGCUGAUUAGGUAGUUGGCGGGGUAACGGCCCACCAAGCCAGCGAUCAGUAGCUGAUGUGAGAGCAUGAUCAGCCACACGGGCACUGAGACACGGGCCCGACUCCUACGGGAGGCAGCAGUAAGGAAUAUUGGUCAAUGGACGAAAGUCUGAACCAGCCAUGCCGCGUGGAGGAUGAAGGUCCUCUGGAUUGUAAACUUCUUUUAUUUGGGACGAAAAAGGGAAAUUCUUUUCCACUUGACGGUACUAGAUGAAUAAGCACCGGCUAACUCCGUGCCAGCAGCCGCGGUAAUACGGAGGGUGCAAGCGUUAUCCGGAUUCACUGGGUUUAAAGGGUGCGUAGGCGGAUAGGUAAGUCCGUGGUGAAAUCCUGCAGCUUAACUGCAGAACUGCCGUGGAUACUAUUUAUCUUGAAUGUCGUGGAGGUUAGCAGAAUAUGUCAUGUAGCGGUGAAAUGCUUAGAUAUGACAUAGAAUACCCAUUGCGAAGGCAGCUAACUACACGAUAAUUGACGCUGAUGCACGAAAGCGUGGGGAUCAAACAGGAUUAGAUACCCUGGUAGUCCACUGGCCCUAAACGAUGAUACUUGUGACAUGGUAUCGAUACACCUGUCAGUGUCCUGCAGGUAACGCAUUAAGUCAUUCCACCUGGGGAAGUACGGAUCGCAAGCUGAAACUCAAAGGAAUUGGCGGGGGUCCGCACAAGCGGUGGAGCAUGUGGUUCAAUUCGACUGCAUACGCGAGGAACCUUACCUGGGCUCGAAUGUGUAGAUGACCUCGGGCUGAAAGCUCACUUGUCCGCAAUACAUCUGCAGUAAGGUGCUGCAUGGCUGUCGUCAGCUCGUGUCGUGAGAUGUUGGGUUAAGUCCCGCAACGAGCGCAACCCUAUUCCUAGUUGCCAUCAGGUCAACGCUGGGCACUCUAGGAAGACUGCCGUCGUACAGACCGGAGGAAGGAUGGGGAUGACGUCAAGUCAUCAUGGCCUUUAUGUCCAGGGCUACACACGUGCUACAAUGCCGUAACUACAAACCGGCGCUAGCCACUGGCGAAGGGGAGCUAAUCCGAAAAAGUCGUCUCAGUUCAGAUUGUAGUCUGCAACUCGCCUGCAUGAAGUCGGAAUCGCUAGUAAUCGUCUAUCAGCAAUGCUCGCGGUGAAUACGUUCCCGGGCCUUGUACACACCGCCCGUCACAUCACGAAAGCUGGCUGUACUAGAAAUCGUCGCGCUAACCCGCAAGGGAGGCAGACGCUUAAGGUAUGGUCA
rnacentral:rRNA from 1 species